GGAGGGUUAGCGCAGUGGCAGCGCAUCAGGCUUCGAACCUGAGGGUCGUGGGUUCAACCCCCACAUCCUUCG